AUGGAACCCCAAAGAUCUUCAUCCUCUUUAGCUGGCCGGGCUGUACUUCUUGAACUUGGUGGUUUUGUUUGUGAGACAGGUUGAGAUACAGGUCGUUUUUGAGCAGCCUGAAUGUUUGCAAGAGCUGGAGAUGGCUUUGGCUCGUCGAGAGGUUCCAACUCAUCCCACCCAUCCUUUUCAGUUUCAUCUUCAUCAUCAAUUCCAUUUUCAACUUCUCCCCAGCCAUCAGUAGAUGUUGGUGAUUCAGUUGCAUGUUGUUCAGUUAAAUCAAA
rnacentral:misc_RNA from 1 species